rnacentral:lncRNA from 1 species
UUGGAAUCUGAAAAAACACAUCCAUCCCUGAGAGAUUUUUGUUUGUGUUUAACCAAGUUUGGAUGCGAUCGGACUGCUGAAUUUACCAGUUGCGUCUGGAAGUCCCACACAAUCAGUGAUCCUCCGAGCUGUGCACUGUAAAAAAGCCAGAAAGGAAAAUACCUUUGCCUCAAAGAGUUAACAACUCCAAACAGAUAAUUCUUGAGAGGGCAGAGAAGAGAGACAAAGAGUUACACUGAGCCACCAAUGGUUGAAUUGGGAGUGUUAUAAAGCUGUUAGAUAGACAGCUCUCUACCAAAAGCUGUCAUCUGCACAACAGUGUCUGCAGAAAGGGACCCUUUGCUUCAGCCACCUCCAUGCAAAACCUGUCUUCGUAGCCUAGACUGGCAACAACGUGAGGCUGUGCUACAGUACUGUGAACUGCAGCAACUCAGGUCACUCUUCCAUCCAGAAUUGUUACAAAAGGCUGAAGUCUUAGAGAAGUUUGGAACCUGAAUAUCAAACAGAAAGGCUCARCUUGGAUCAGUUGUAAUAUUUUGUAGAGGUAAGUUCCAUAUGCUUACAACUAAGCAUUUUAAAAUUUUGGGUUUUUCUACUACAGUGAGGUUACACUUCAAAAAAAAGUCUGUAGAAAAAUACUAAGAAGCUCCAUGGAUUAUUAAUAAUUAAGGUUGCAUUGUAAGGGCAUAGGUCUUGCACUGUGCUCCAAUUAUAACCAGCUCAUCAGCAGCAAUUUCUCUGUUUAUAUUGUCUCAAAGCACACAGGAGGCUAUCUGAGCUCUGCUGUAAUCAGGUGAUAGAACGUGUUUCCUAUGUUGCUAUCUCUUACCCUAG